rnacentral:rRNA from 1 species
UACGUAGGGUGCGAGCGUUGUCCGGAAUUAUUGGGCGUAAAGGGCUCGUAGGCGGUUUGUCGCGUCGGGAGUGAAAACCUCGGGCUUAACUCGGGGCUUGCUUUCGAUACGGGCAGACUAGAGGUAUGCAGGGGAGAACGGAAUUCCUGGUGUAGCGGUGAAAUGCGCAGAUAUCAGGAGGAACACCGGUGGCGAAGGCGGCUUUCUGGACAGAAACUGACGCUGAUGCGCGAAAGCUAGGGGAGCAAACAGG